AAGAACUGAAUCUGUAACUGCGUUAAAAGGUUAGGGAAUUGAAUCCCAGAGUCUCAGAGGGGCUAUUUCAAGUCCUCAGCCAACCAAAGUUGAACUGUACACCUAUGGCAACCUAAUUCCCAGCCCUGAGCUUCACCUCAUCGCGGGUCACAGAAACAACAACUUCAGAAUACCUGGAAUGAUGAUGGAGUGAUGAUGUGACCUUUUGCACUGUGGGGGAGGCAUUCCGUGCUCUGAUGGUCGUGGGCUCCUGUUGACUCCAAUCUCCCCCAUCAUCACCGAAGACCAUUUUUUGUGGCAAGCUAUUAGAGAAGAAAAGGAAUAAGCUCAGCCUGCUGCCUCCUCCUGAGCACACUGCCUGAGAGCCAACGGCCCGGACCACAGGAGGCUUCCAGAUGCUGGCGGAGAAGCAGGAAUCAUUACAACGGAGCAGAGCCCCACACAGAGGUGGAAAGAUCCUCUUAGCGCUCAUUAAUUGUAAUUUUCAGGAUUAAUGCAAAAGAUUUGGCAGCUUGACAGGAGGGAGUUUUAACACAGAUAAUUCACCGCAGCUCACUGGAGCUGAGGACAGGGUCACUGUCCCCCUGCCACAAUGCAACAGGUUGGGUAGAUUACAACCCUGCCAUGCGUACUGCAAUCAUCACUAUGCUCUGCAAUGAAAGAGCUGCCUUUGAAGCUUUGGGAUCACCCUCCAUCAGGCCCUAUUAGAAAUCCACAUCUUUGUAUAAGGGACCACCAGGUGUUAGAGCCUUGAAGUCAUAGCUGGAUACCUUCCGUGGAGGCAUUGGAGUCCCAGUGCCAAUCCCAUCACCUGUUUCCUCUUCUGCUAAGCUCAGAGUCAUGGCUUGCACUUCUCCCUUCCCUGUACAUGGGCAAUGUUCUGCCUGUGUGAUGUGCUCCCAUAUCAUUAAAAAGCAAAUGGUAAAACAUAUUUGCUCUGUACUGCCUUGGCUUCACAAACUCUCUUCCCCUGGCUCACUCCACUGCUGUGAGCAGCCACACUAGUGCCAGCAGCUCUGCCUGUAACAGCAACAAUAUUCACUGCUUAAAUAUUUGCAGGAUCACUGUCUGAAUUGGCAUUCUUUCCAAAGCUAUCUGGGCUCCAUGAAAAACUCGUGGAAUAAACACAGUAACACAGGGCCAGCUCCUCAGCUAGUGCUAGUCAGUUUGCUUCUGUGUAAGCCAAAUUGAGGAUCCGCUCUUCCUCGUGUCUGCCUAAGAUAUGCAAGAAAAUGAACAAUGCUAGCAAAUGUACAUGCACUUCAGUGGUGAAUUGGUGCAUCUUUUCAUUUAUUGUCUUGAUUUUUCUGUUUUCUACUGCUGGGAAAUUAUGCAAAUAUUUCUCGUACUAGAGAAGAAUACCAAUAAUUAAGAAAUGUGCAGCUUGGAUUUGAAAUGAUGUCGUGAAUCCCAUAGCAAAGUUCUCAUGCAGCAGCACAUUAACAGCUGUGAUGACUGCUAUGUGACACAAGGGCUGGAUUUCAGCCCCCAAGAAGGUCACUGUGCAUUGUUUGUUUGGCACUUAUAUGGAAAAAAAUAGCAGAAAAAGAGAGCAGGGCACAAGACCUUGGCCAGUUUUCCGACGUGUUUGUGCAGGAGUCGUUAAACAGCAUCAUCUCUUAGGGGAAGAGAAGGAGGCCAUGUGGCUCUGGUAUUGGGCCAACUCAGACAAAAGGUGUCACCUCGCUGUCUUCAUGGGGACAAGCACUGAUUGGCAGGAAUGGCAAACAAACUUUUUGCAGGUAACAUCCUUGAAGGCCAAAGAAGUUCUGGGUACUGUAACAGGGCACCUAUGGCCCUAGGCAAUAGGGAUCUCAGCUUUAGUUCAUAGAAUCAUAGAACCGUUUCAGAUGGAAGGGAUUCUUAAAGGCCAUCUUGUCCAAUGCCCUGCAAUGCACAGGGACACCCACAGCUCCAUCGGUGCUCAGAACCCCACCCAGCCUGACUUUAAUGUCUCCAGGGAUGGGGA